AACGAACGCUAUCGGUAUGCUUAACACAUGCAAGUCGGACGGACUAAUUAGGGCUUGCUCCAAUUAGUUAGUGGCAGACGGGUGAGUAACACGUGGGAAUCUGCCCAUCAGUACGGAAUAACUUUUAGAAAUAAAAGCUAAUACCGUAUACUCUCUACAGAGGAAAGAUUUAUCGCUGAUGGAUGAGCCCGCGUCAGAUUAGGUAGUUGGUGAGGUAACGGCUCACCAAGCCGACGAUCUGUAGCUGGUCUGAGAGGAUGAUCAGCCACACUGGGACUGAGACACGGCCCAGACUCCUACGGGAGGCAGCAGUGGGGAAUAUUGGACAAUGGGCGAAAGCCUGAUCCAGCAAUACCGAGUGAGUGAUAAAGGCCCUAGGGUUGUAAAGCUCUUUUAGCAAGGAAGAUAAUGACGUUACUUGCAGAAAAAGCCCCGGCUAACUCCGUG
rnacentral:rRNA from 1 species